UACGUAGGGAGCGAGCGUUGUCCGGAUUUACUGGGUGUAAAGGGAGCGUAGACGGCGAUGCAAGCCAGAUGUGAAAGCCCGGGGCUCAACUCCGGGACUGCUUUUGAAACUGUGUGACUGGAGUGCAGGAGAGGUAAGCGGAAUUCCUGGUGUAGCGGUGAAAUGCGUAGAUAUCAGGAGGAACACCAGUGGCGAAGGCGACUUACUGGACUGUAACUGACGCUGAGGCAUGAGAGCAUGGGGAGCAAACAGG
rnacentral:rRNA from 1 species